UGGGGAAUAUUGCACAAUGGGGGAAACCCUGAUGCAGCAACGCCGCGUGGAGGAAGAAGGUUUUCGGAUUGUAAACUCCUGUCUUUUGGGACGAUAAUGACGGUACCAAAAGAGGAAGCCACGGCUAACUACGUGCCAGCAGCCGCGGUAAUACGUAGGUGGCGAGCGUUGUCCGGAAUUACUGGGCGUAAAGGGCGCGUAGGCGGCCAAUUAAGUCAGAUGUGAAAACCCCAGGCUUAACUUGGGGAGUGCAUUUGAAACUGGAUGGCUAGAGUGUCGGAGAGGGAAGCGGAAUUCCUAGUGUAGCGGUGAAAUGCGUAGAUAUUAGGAGGAACACCAGUGGCGAAGGCGGCUUUCUGGACGAUAACUGACGCUGAGGCGCGAAAGCGUGGGGAGCAAACAGG
rnacentral:rRNA from 1 species